rnacentral:rRNA from 1 species
CCUACGGGAGGCAGCAGUGGGGAAUUUUGGACAAUGGGCGCAAGCCUGAUCCAGCAAUGCCGCGUGAGUGAAGAAGGCCUUCGGGUUGUAAAGCUCUUUUGUCAGGGAAGAAACGGUGGGAGCUAAUAUCUCCCGCUAAUGACGGUACCUGAAGAAUAAGCACCGGCUAACUACGUGCCAGCAGCCGCGGUAAUACGUAGGGUGCAAGCGUUAAUCGGAAUUACUGGGCGUAAAGCGUGCGCAGGCGGUUUUGUAAGUCUGUCGUGAAAGCCCCGGGCUCAACCUGGGAAUUGCGAUGGAGACUGCAAGGCUUGAAUCUGGCAGAGGGGGGUAGAAUUCCACGUGUAGCAGUGAAAUGCGUAGAGAUGUGGAGGAACACCGAUGGCGAAGGCAGCCCCCUGGGUCAAGAUUGACGCUCAUGCACGAAAGCGUGGGGAGCAAACAGGAUUAGAUACCCUGGUAGUCCACGCCCUAAACGAUGUCUACUAGUUGUCGGGCUUUAAUUAACUUGGUAACGCAGCUAACGCGUGAAGUAGACCGCCUGGGGAGUACGGUCGCAAGAUUAAAACUCAAAGGAUUGACGGCUGAGACGUAGACGACGACGACGACGAGGGAGGAGG